GGGGGGGGGGGGGGGGGGGGGUGGGAGGGGGGGGGGGGGGGGGGGGGCGGGGAGCUGGGUUCUGGGAGGUGAGCGGCGGAGGGGGGAGGAACACGUGGAUAACCUACCUAUAAGACUGGGAUAACUGCGGGAAACCGGAGCUAAUACCGGAUAAUAUUUUGAACCGAAUGGUUAAAAAGUGAAAGACGGUCUUGCUGUCACUUAUAGAUGGAUCCGCGCUGCAUUAGCUAGUUGGUAAGGUAACGGCUUACCAAGGCAACGAUGCAUAGCCGACCUGAGAGGGUGAUCGGCCACACUGGAACUGAGACACGGUCCAGACUCCUACGGGAGGCAGCAGUAGGGAGUCUUCCGCAAUGGGCGAAAGCCUGACGGAGCAACGCCGCGUGAGUGAUGAAGGUCUUCGGAUCGUAAAACUCUGUUAUUAGGGAAGAACAUAUGUGUAAGUAACUGUGCACAUCUUGACGGUACCUAAUCAGAAAGCCACGGCUAACUACGUG
rnacentral:rRNA from 1 species